rnacentral:tRNA from 1 species
GCCUCGAUAGCUUAGUAGGUAGAGCGUGUGGCUGUUAACCACAAGGUCGCCAGUUCGAGUCUGGCUCGGGGCG